GACGACGGCUGGCGGCGUGCCUAACACAUGCAAGUCGAACGCGUCUGUGCUUCGGCACAGAUGAGUGGCGAACGGGUGAGUAACGCGUGAGUAACUCCCCUUGGGGAGGGGGAUAACCAUCUGAAAAGGUGGCUAAUACCCCAUAUUCUCUUUUCUCAUAAGAGGAAGGAGGAAAGGUGGCGCAAGCUGCCACCCCGAGAGAGGCUCGCGUCCCAUCAGCUAGUUGGUAGGGUAAUGGCCUACCAAGGCUAUGACGGGUAGCUGGUCUGAGAGGAUGGUCAGCCACACUGGGACUGAGACACGGCCCAGACUCCUACGGGAGGCAGCAGUGAGGAAUCUUGGGCAAUGGGCGAAAGCCUGACCCAGCGACGCCGCGUGGAGGAAGAAGGCCUUCGGGUCGUAAACUCCUGUUUGGGGAGAAGAACAAGAGAGAAGUUAAUAGCUUCUCUCUCUGACGGUAUCCCCGGAGAAAGCUCCGGCUAAUUACGUG
rnacentral:rRNA from 1 species